UACAGAGGUCUCAAGCGUUGUUCGGAUUCAUUGGGCGUAAAGGGUGCGUAGGUGGCGGGGUAAGUCAGGUGUGAAAUUUCGGAGCUCAACUCCGAAACUGCAUUUGAUACUGCCUUGCUUGAGGACUGGAGAGGAGACUGGAAUUCACGGUGUAGCAGUGAAAUGCGUAGAUAUCGUGAGGAAGACCAGUGGCGAAGGCGGGUCUCUGGGCAGUAACUGACGCUGAGGAGCGAAAGCGUGGGGAGCGAACAGG
rnacentral:rRNA from 1 species